CCCGACCACUUGUCAACCGGCAGGUUUCGCUGCCGUCGACUUCCCUCAGAGACUGGCGUCAAGACACCCGUGGACCCACCCCUCUGACUAUCAGCUCUUGCUGCUAGAGGCUCCCAUUAUAAACAUUGUGAGGACGUGAGGAGCCCUCACCCUUGUGACGUCAUCGUCUGCUACUUCCGGUACAGGCAAGGCUUUUUCUCUACUAAAUCCUUUCAGCAAAAAUAUGGCAAUAUCACAAAAUGAUCAAGUAUGACCCAUAGAAUGGACUUGCUAUCCCCGUUUAAAUAAGAACAUCUCAUUUCAGUAGGCCUUUAAAACCUAUUUUGCACAAUCAGCCUUUUCAUAUAACGCGGUAAAGGAAUGGAACAACCUCACAACAAACUUGAAAAGUCUAACAGAUGACUCUUCAUUCGCAAUUGAAGUUAAAAAGUGGCUUUGGAGCAAUCAAAGCUGCUCACACGGUCACUAAGGUGACCACUAUGUUUGACACAUGCACUUGAUGUGUAUCGUAUUUAUUUAUGAGAGCAUUUUUGUUUUAAAUUGUGAGGUGUGUGAGUUAAAAUCAUGGUUGUUUUUUUUACAAAAGAUGACAGAUGUGAACAAGAGCAUGUAUUGUCUUUGCGUUAUGAUGUAAAG